rnacentral:lncRNA from 1 species
AGAACGCCAAAGCCUCUCUUGAAGUCCGUCGAGAAACUACGCCAUGGAGACUCACAGAACUCCAAGAAGAGAAAGGAGACCGGAGAGAAGGACGAAGAAGGAGAGGGAGUUCGCAGCGUCGCUGAAGGCACCGAUUUGGAUGACCGGUGCCCUCGGGAGACGCUGCCACUACUGGACGUUGCCCUGCCGUAUCCAGUGGUGCCCCGGCCCGCACUCGUUCGCGAGCUGAGCCGGCAGCACGCUGAGCCGCAUGUGCCGCGGGUGAACGUCUGUCCCCCGACGCCUCUUCACACGGAGCACGAGGAGCGGAAGGCGCACGUUGAACGCGAGGACACAGAUUCGUUGUGACCCAAGUCCUGCUGCUCCUCACGAGCCAUACAUGUGAAGCCAACAUGUGUGUUUGUAAUACCUGUAUUUUACGUCUUUAUACGAGUACAUCUACCGGGUAACUUCCAGUCAUUUUUGCGGACAAUACGUAUGCCUUCAAGAGAACAACACUGCUUUUGAACUCUUGUGUACAAGCUAAUAAAAAGGAACA